GAUGAACGCUGGCGGCGUGCCUAAUACAUGCAAGUCGAGCGAACAGACGAGGAGCUUGCUCCUCUGACGUUAGCGGCGGACGGGUGAGUAACACGUGGAUAACCUACCUAUAAGACUGGGAUAACUUCGGGAAACCGGAGCUAAUACCGGAUAAUAUAUUGAACCGCAUGGUUCAAUAGUGAAAGACGGUUUUGCUGUCACUUAUAGAUGGAUCCGCGCCGCAUUAGCUAGUUGGUAAGGUAACGGCUUACCAAGGCAACGAUGCGUAGCCGACCUGAGAGGGGGAUCGGCCACACUGGAACGGAGACACGGACCAGACUCCUACGGGAGGCAGCAGUAGGGAAUCUGCCGCAAUAGGCGAAAGCCUGACGGAACAACGCCGCGUGAGUGAUAAAGGUCUUCGGAUCGUAAAACUCUGUUAUUAGGGAAGAACAAAUGUGUAAGGAACUAUGCACGGCUUGACGGUACCUAAUCAGAAAGCCACGGCUAACUACGUG
rnacentral:rRNA from 1 species